CCCCGCUUCACACACACAAAGGGAGACACGCACCUGUAUUAACGGGGCGUUAAAUCGUAAAAAAAAUAAAAAAAGAGAUUAUGUAUCUGCAGUCGCUUGGUGAAUCCGUCAAGACAUCAUCACUUUAUUUAUGUUGACAAAACUGUAGACGAGCUGUGGUUGGUCUUUGCCCCCCUUAUGGGGGCGCCAAAGAUCACAGGGGGUGCGCCAGGAUUUGUCUGCUCUGAGGUUGUCAAAAUUAGAUUUGCUCAUGUAUAACUAAAGUCAUAAUAACACACUUACUGGAUAAUUUAUACAAAAAUCUGUAUAUAAAACUAUAUAAAAAGACAUUUUUUUGUUACUUAUUAGCAAAAUCUUGUGAAAUCUUCUGCUUCGAUCCAUAUUUGUUGGCGUUUAGCCUUUCAAAAACAACAUUUUCACGGUGGUCAAACUGCUCCCCCGCUUGACGCACACAAAGGGGGGCACGCACCUAUAUUAAAGGGGCGGUCUAUCAGCAACCUAACAACACCAUAAAUGACAUUUAUUUAACCACAAUAACAAAAAGAUCUAUUGUGGCUCCAAUACUAUUACAGUAAAUUAAUUAAGUAGUUA